CCUUGCGUAUAACACCUUCGCCUGGGUGUGUGAACGCUCAUUCAGUAGGUAAAAACAAAUAACGUGCACUCUUACCUAUCUACGGAAGGACUUGAAACAUCCGUGAUGGAUUUCUUGAAUUUGAUGGUAUUUUUGCUGUCAGUUGCCGGAUGCUGCUUCGGACAGAAUGCAUUGCCACCAGGUCCUGUGGAGGGAGUUAUUGGUAAAAACGUUACGUUUACCACGGUUGUAAGUCCGGGAGAUUACCUUACAGUAUCCUGGACUUUCAACGGCGGGAGCGGACUUGUGGCCGUUGUAACACAUGCUCCCGGUGGUAGAAACUAUGGUCCCGGCUACGAGGGUAAAGUGUUGCUGAAUUCAACCAACGGGGUGUUAAAGCUUGGGCCUUUGACUGCGAAGGACAGCGGAGACUAUACUUUAAACAUGAUCAACAACAUGGGCAAAUCCACCACUGGUGAAACGACUUUAAAAGUUCUCGAGCCCGUGUCUGCUGUGACCAUCAAAUCCAGCCUGACUGAAGCUGUGGAGAUCAACAGCACCGUGGUCCUCACCUGCACCUCCAAGGGCUCCUUUCUCAAGUAUGCCUGGCUCAACGGCUCCGCCCCUGUGACUCCCGACGGCACGCACGUGACCCUGAGCGCAGACUCCCGCAACCUGACCGUGAGUGCAGUCCUGAGGACAGACCUGGUGGGGCCCAUCUACUGUGCUGUCUCCAACAGCCUGGAGAGCGAGAAGAGUGCCCCCUUCAACCUCACCGUCCACUUCGGGCCUGAAAACAUCGCCAUGACCAUCAACCCAACUGGCGAGUUUGUCAGGAAGGGUUCCAACCUCACUCUGACCUGCUCGGCAAAGUCCAGUCCAGCUGCACAGUUCAAGUGGAUCCACAACGGUGUGGAAAGGAAGGAGACAGACCCAACACUGGUUCUGGCAAACGUGGAUAAGAGCCAGGCGGGGAACAUCACCUGCAUGGCAUUCAACCCCAAGACCAUGCGCUACCUCUCUGCCCAGGUGGUGAAGUUCACUGUCAUUGAGGCCAUCUCCGGCACUAAGAUCACUGGCCCCAACCCCACCCUCGUCGCCGGCAACAGCACGGCCAGCCUCAAAUGCUCGGCAACCGCCGGCACGAUGGUAACCCAAGCCUGGAUGAAGGACGGCAAGCCGCUGCUGUCUAGCAACAGAGUAAACGUAUCAGGUGACUCGAGCCAGGUGACCAUCAGCCCGGUGCAGAAGGAGGACAGCGGGGAAUACAAGUGUCAGAUGACCAACGCAGUCAGCAAAGAGGAAGCCACGCACAAGAUGGUAGUCUACUACGGCCCGGAGGAAGUGAAGGUGACGGGUGAAAACGGCGUGGAGAUCACCGAAUCCGUGAAUCUGAAGUGUGUAGCCAAGUCCCUCCCCGCCGCCACCUUCGUCUGGAAGUUCAACGGCACGUUGACGCAGGUGACGUCACCAGACUACGUCAUGGAGGGCGCUGUGUACAAAAACACAGGCAUCUACACGUGUGAGGCCACCAACGCCAUUACCGGACUCACCAUGUCCGCUGCACAUCUGCUGUCUGUCAAAGAGGAGGGUGCUCUGGACGAGGGCCUUUCAGAUGGAGCCAUCGCCGGCAUCAUCAUCGCUGUACUCGUCAUCGUGGCGGCCAUUAUAGCUGGAGUUGUCUACAUGAGACGAAAACAAACAAUCGAGUCGCCAUACUAGAGAAGAGAGAGGGUGCAUGGAGAAAGAAACAGGAGUUACAAACAAGCAGGCGGGCAGCCAUUCUGGCAGGAGUGAUCAACCCGAAGCUUCUACCGCUGUCUUUACCCAAGAUCUUCCUCUCUGGCCUGGGAGGACCAAUGAGCUCUAAGGCUGCCCCAGGUCCAGUAGAACCAACCAGUCACAGCCAAGCCCCCCACCAGACUGACCCCCCCCCCCUUCUCUGGUUCCAGGGGUGCCCAGAUGUGGCCUCCUGGAGCUUCGUAAGGGGCCCGGAACCUUCCCUUUCUUUGUCUGUAUGGUCUUCCUGUUUCUCCUCCCUGCCACUUCACUCAUACCCUCCCUCCCCCCACCUUCUUCUUCUCCGUUCAUUGGAAUGUCAUCAAGGCCCUCGCCGACACAAAUAAAGACUUCAGGCACUCUAAAGAGAAUGCAGAUGCCCUACAGAUCAUGGCCGAUGUCUACAGCCUGGAGAAACUGGAGGAGGGUUCAAACAUCUCCCAUAGUCUACAGGGACUCUCUCUUUCUCUUUCUGUCUGGAUGGAGAGGUCUUCUUCGUAUGAAAGAUGUGCAAGACUGAAGAAAAAUCUUUGUGAAAGCAAGAUUGAACAUGCUUCAAGUCUGAAAAAAACAGACAGGCAGCAGCAUUUCUGUGGGCAAAUGACAUUCCACUGGUUUUGGAGGGAAAGUCACAACUUCAAGGAGGUAUGCUACAAUCUACCAAGAUCACUUAUCUUCUGGAUGACUAGUUUCACACCGGAUCUUUCUAUGAUUUCACUUUUGUUGCUUUAUUGUUUGUCAUUCCAUCUUUUGAAGUUCAAAGCAGUUUGUCACUCAAAAUACGACAGUUAUAAUUUCUUUCUCCUGUAGUUGAUGCCUGACUUUUUACAUCUAUCCUUGUUAUUUAGAUUUUACAAAGCAAGCGUUUGUUUUGAAAUGCAUUGCAUUUAUUGUCAGGACACUGAAAAUGGUUGCCUACCUAACAUUUGAAGUGUAUUUUGAGUGAGCUAUGUCUUUAAACCUGGAGUUCACAGUGUUUUAGAAUAAGAGUUGUGUUACCAUAACCAAACCUAUUUUUCCCUGCUGUGUUGAUUUAGAGAUUCAGAGCCUGGUCUUUGCUUUAGCCCUGAGAGUUGGUGUAGACCUGCAAGCUGGAGAUAGCUCCUCCUUGGGGGAGUUGAGGUGUUUAAGGUGCUUUGUGUAAACCUAGACUGUUACAUGCACUGAUCCACCGAUGGACAUCAAUUUAUCAUGAAGAUCACAGCUUGGACAGCACAUUGCUUAAUUUACACACACAUUCUGAACACACACAAACACACACACACACACCCACACAAACACACACUCACAAACUGACAAACACACACAAACCCAUCUGCUGGUUGUUUCUCCAUCAACGUGUUUUGCGAUUGUUUGGACUAGAGUACUAAUGAACAGGAUUUACUGCCCAUCACUGUAAAUAAUAUCCAGAUAUAUUUUCUUUUCAUGUAAAUGUGCUUUGUUAGGUUCUUAACAUUUUAGGAUUAGUUUUUCGGGUUUUCUUGCUGAUCUUUGAAUACUUUCCGCAAAUCUUCAUGUGUUUACAGUGAGUGCAUACCAUCCAAUUGACAUUUAUCUCCACUUCUUUAUUGUGUUACCAUGGGAGUGUUUGAAUACCUAUCAAAUACUUCCUCCCUUCCUUUGAAUUCACUGAACUAACCUCAAAAAAGGAAAUUAGGAAGAAAGGAUGCAUUCUGUGAAUAAUGGAACGGGGCCCACAUAUUUGUUUUUGUUUUAUUUAUUCUUCUCUUGCUGGAACAUCCUUGUUUGUUUUCCAGGGAAUAUUCAAACAGUAUCGCCGGCCGGCCAAUCCUGUUUUAUAUUUUUCGGGAACCAAUCACACAAAUGUUCUCUCUCUCAUCUGUCGCUAAGAUUGUGAAUGACUGAACAUAAAGGCGGAGCAACGGUUCCUGUUUUUACAA